AGGUAAGCUACUAAGAGCGAAUGGUGGAUGCCUUGACUGGUAAAGGCGAUGAAGGACGUACUAGACUGCGAUAAGCUACGGGGAGCUGUCAAGAAGCUUUGAUCCGUAGAUUUCCGAAUGGGGCAACCCAAUGUAUAGAGAUAUACAUUACCUAUAUAGGAGCGAACGAGGGGAAUUGAAACAUCUUAGUACCCUCAGGAAAAGAAAUCAAUAGAGAUUGCGUCAGUAGCGGCGAGCGAAAGCGCAAGAGGGCAAACCCAGUGCUUGCACUGGGGGUUGUAGGACUGCAAUGUGCAAGAGGUAAGUUUAGCAGAACAUUCUGGAAAGUAUAACCAUAGAGGGUGAUAGUCCCGUAUGCGAAAAACAAACCUUAGCUAGCAGUAUCCUGAGUAGGGCGGGACACGAGGAAUCCUGUCUGAAUCCGGGUCGACCACGAUCCAACCCUAAAUACUAAUACCAGAUCGAUAGUGCACAAGUACCGUGAGGGAAAGGUGAAAAGAACUGAGGUGAUCAGAGUGAAAUAGAACCUGAAACCAUUUGCUUACAAUCAUUCAGAGCCCUAUGUAGCAAUACAGGGUGAUGGACUGCCUUUUGCAUAAUGAGCCUGCGAGUUGUGGUGUCUGGCAAGGUUAAGCAAACGCGAAGCCGUAGCGAAAGCGAGUCUGAAUAGGGCGCUUAGUCAGAUGCUGCAGACCCGAAACGAAGUGAUCUAUCCAUGAGCAAGUUGAAGCUAGUGUAAGAACUAGUGGAGGACUGAACCCAUAGGCGUUGAAAAGCCCCGGGAUGACUUGUGGAUAGGGGUGAAAGGCCAAUCAAACUUCGUGAUAGCUGGUUCUCUCCGAAAUAUAUUUAGGUAUAGCGUUGUGUCGUAAUAUAAGGGGGUAGAGCACUGAAUGGGCUAGGGCAUACACCAAUGUACCAAACCCUAUCAAACUCCGAAUACCUUAUAUGUAAUCACAGCAGUCAGGCGGCGAGUGAUAAAAUCCGUCGUCAAGAGGGAAACAACCCAGACUACCAGCUAAGGUCCCUAAAUCUUACUUAAGUGGAAAACGAUGUGAAGUUACUUAAACAACCAGGAGGUUGGCUUAGAAGCAGCCAUCCUUUAAAGAAAGCGUAAUAGCUCACUGGUCUAGUGAUUUUGCGCGGAAAAUAUAACGGGGCUAAAGUAAGUACCGAAGCUGUAGACUUAGUUUACUAAGUGGUAGGAGAGCGUUCUAUUUGCGUCGAAGGUAUACCGGUAAGGAGUGCUGGAGCGAAUAGAAGUGAGCAUGCAGGCAUGAGUAGCGAUAAUUAAUGUGAGAAUCAUUAACGCCGUAAACCCAAGGUUUCCUACGCGAUGCUCGUCAUCGUAGGGUUAGUCGGGUCCUAAGUCGAGUCCGAAAGGGGUAGACGAUGGCAAAUUGGUUAAUAUUCCAAUACCAACAUUAGUGUGCGAUGGAAGGACGCUUAGGGCUAAGGGGGCUAGCGGAUGGAAGUGCUAGUCUAAGGUCGUAGGAGGUUAUACAGGCAAAUCCGUAUAACAAUACUCCGAGAACUGAAAGGCUUUUUGAAGUCUUCGGAUGGAUAGAAGAACCCCUGAUGCCGUCGAGCCAAGAAAAGUUUCUAAGUUUAGCUAAUGUUGCCCGUACCGUAAACCGACACAGGUGGGUGGGAUGAGUAUUCUAAGGCGCGUGGAAGAACUCUCUUUAAGGAACUCUGCAAAAUAGCACCGUAUCUUCGGUAUAAGGUGUGGUUAGCUUUGUAUUAGGAUUUACUCCGAAAGCAAGGAAACUUACAACAAAGAGUCCCUCCCGACUGUUUACCAAAAACACAGCACUCUGCUAACUCGUAAGAGGAUGUAUAGGGUGUGACGCCUGCCCGGUGCUCGAAGGUUAAUUGAUGGGGUUAGCAUUAGCGAAGCUCUUGAUCGAAGCCCGAGUAAACGGCGGC
rnacentral:rRNA from 1 species